rnacentral:rRNA from 1 species
AGGGUGUAAACGCUGCAGACUUGGUGUUGGGAACCCUUCGGGGGUGCUCAGUGCCGGAGAGAAGUUGUUAAGUCUGCUACUUGGGGAGUACGUCCGCAAGGAUGAAACUUAAAAGGAAUUGGCGGGGGGAGCACCGCAACGGGAGGAGCGUGCGGUUUAAUUGGAUUCAACACCGUAAAACUCACCAGGGAAGACUGUUACAUGAAGGCCGAGAUGAAGACUCUGCUAGAUUUUCAGAGAGGUGGUGCAUGGCGUCAGUGACU